rnacentral:lncRNA from 1 species
GCGGGGCCAUCGACAUCUCCUUUGAAAAUGGGCAUUUCCCCAACUCAUGCAGGUGGAGGGGAGAGCGAAGCCAAAUGGGACACCGGCCCCCACACACUGCCCCGGCUCCUGCAUUUCCGGAGAUGGAAACGUGGAGAGCAGCUGGGGAUGGCGCAUGAUUGCCUGAACCAUAUGAAGGCUGGCGCUGAUCUUGAAAACGUGGGUUGGACUGCGUCACCCCGACCCCUGCCUCAAAGCCCCUCCGUGGUUGCCUACAGCACAGCUUGAAGCCCCUUGGUUCUGCUUCCCGGGCCUGCAGUGCUGGCCCCAGCCUGGCCGAGCGAGCAUUUGUUCACCCAAGACCUUUCCCCUCCUGCCUUCGUGGAGCCUCCACAAGGAGUAAACAACCACUUCUGUGAGCCUUGAUCUCCC